rnacentral:Y_RNA from 1 species
GGCUAGUUUGAAGGUAAUGAGUUAUGUCAAUUGAUUGUUCAUAAUCAAAUUCCUUGUUCGACCCUUUUUCCUCUUUUCACUACUGCACCUGACUAGUCUUAA